rnacentral:rRNA from 1 species
GACGGAUGAGUUGUGGUUAGGGGUGAAAUGCUAAUCGAACUCGGAGCUAGCUGGUUCUCCUCGAAAUGCGUUGAGGCGCAGCAUUUAUAAAUAACGUCUAAGGGGUAAAGCACUGUUCCGAUGCGGGCUAUGAAAAUGGUACCAAAUCGUUGCAAACUAAGAAUACUUAAGCGUUAAAGUAAAUAGUGAGACUAUGGGGGAUAAGCUUCAUAGUCGAAAGGGAAACAGCCCAGAUCAUCAGCUAAGGCCCCUAAAUAAUGACUGAGUGUUAAAGGAAGUUUCAACGCAGAAACAGCCAGAAGGUUCGCUUAGAAGCAGCUAUCCUUAAAAGAAUGCGUAAUAGCUCACUGGUUAACCAGCGUUGAUGCGCCGAAAAUGUCCGGGACUAAGUGAUUUGCCGAAGCUAUGAGGCAUCGCGAAGCGAUGUCGGUAGGGGAGCGUUCUGUUUUUAAGGUGAAUUUUUUGCGUAAGCAAAUUUGGAUGAAACAGAAGCGAGAAUGUCGGCUUGAGUAACGAAAACAUUGGUGAGAAUCCAAUGCCCCGAAAAUCUAAGGGUUCCUCCACUAGGUUCGUCCAUGGAGGGUUAGUCAGGACCUAAGAUUAGGCUGAAAAGCGUCAUCGAUGGAAAACAGGUGAAUAUUCCUGUACCCGUUUGGAUUUGGUGACAAAGGACGAAGGAGGCAACUUCGAAUGGAUUACGAAAUGGUCGUAAUGAAAUGGUUCAAUGCAUGAUCAAAGAAAAAAAAUUUUGAUUUCGCCUUACCAACGGUGAGGCAUGCAAAGACCUGAAUCAGCGGCGUCAUUUGUAACCAAUGACGCCGCCCAAACGCAAUUUGUCCCACUUCCAAGAAAAUUUUGUGACACUGUAUAAUUCAAAUGGCCUGUACCUUAAACCAACACAGGUAGGUCCGUUUAAAUAUACUCAGGGGCGCGAGAGAACUCUCUCUAAGGAACUCGGCAAAAUGGAACCGUAACUUCGGGAGAAGGUUUGCCUCGCAAGAGGUCGCAGUGAAAUGAUUUGUCGAACUAUUUAUCAAAAAUAUAGGUCUCCGCAAAGUCGUAAGACAACGUAUGGGGGCUGACGCCUGCCCAGUGCCGGAAGGUUAAAGAAAUCGGUUAACCGCUGAUGACUGAAGCCCCGGUGAACGGCGGCCGUAACUCUGACGGUCCUAAGGUAGCGAAAUUCCUUGUCACGUAAGUUGUGACCCGCACGAAAGGCGUAAUCAGACAAAUACUGUCUCAGAGAGAGACUCGGUGAAAUAACAUUGUCCGUGAAGAUGCGGACUUCUAAUAUUCAGACACGAAGACCCCGGCAGCUUGACUGUAUCUUGAUAUUGGUUUCCAGUUGUUUUUGCGCAGUCUAGGUGGGAGGCUAGGAAUUUGAAUUCGCGGAUUCAAAUGAGCCAUUAUUGAGAGACCACUCUGAAAUAACUAGAAUUCUAAAAAUGCUUCCUUUUAGCAGGACAUUGA